rnacentral:rRNA from 1 species
UGGGGAAUAUUGCACAAUGGGCGGAAGCCUGAUGCAGCGACGCCGCGUGAGGGAUGACGGCCUUCGGGUUGUAAACCUCUUUCAGUAGGGACGAAGCGUAAGUGACGGUACCUGCAGAAGAAGCACCGGCUAACUACGUGCCAGCAGCCGCGGUAAUACGUAGGGUGCGAGCGUUGUCCGGAAUUACUGGGCGUAAAGAGCUCGUAGGCGGUUUGUCACGUCGUCUGUGAAAUCCUAGGGCUUAACCCUGGACGUGCAGGCGAUACGGGCUGACUUGAGUACUACAGGGGAGACUGGAAUUUCUGGUGUGGCGGUGGAAUGCACAGAUGUCAGGAAGAACACCGAUGGCGAAGGCAGGUCUCUGGGUAGUAACUGACGCUGAGGAGCGAAAGCUAGGGGGGCGAACAGG